CAGCCGUAAACUAUGCUCGCUAGGUGUCAGGCAUGGCGCGACCGUGUCUGGUGCCGCAGGGAAGCCGUGAAGCGAGCCACCUGGGAAGUACGGCCGCAAGGCUGAAACUUAAAGGAAUUGGCGGGGGAGCACAACAACGGGUGGAGCCUGCGGUUUAAUUGGACUCAACGCCGGGAAGCUCACCGGAUAAGACAGCGGAAUGAUUGCCGGGCUGAAGACUCUGCAUGACUAGCUGAGAGGUGGUGCAUGGCGUAGACGUGU
rnacentral:rRNA from 1 species